rnacentral:rRNA from 1 species
UACAGAGGGUGCGAGCGUUGUUCGGAAUUAUUGGGCGUAAAGGGCGCGUAGGCGGUGCGGUAAGUCACCUGUGAAAUCUCCUGGCUCAACUGGGAGCUUGCAGGCGAAACUGCCGUGCUGGAGUGUGGGAGAGGUGCGUGGAAUUCCUGGUGUAGCGGUGAAAUGCGUAGAUAUCAGGAGGAACACCCGAGGCGAAGGCGGCUCUCUGGGUCGUACCUGACGCUGAGGCGCGAAAGCGUGGGGAGCGAACGGG